rnacentral:rRNA from 1 species
UUAAAUUGAAGAGUUUGAUCAUGGCUCAGAUUGAACGCUGGCGGCAGGCCUAACACAUGCAAGUCGAACGGUAACAGGAAGCAGCUUGCUGCUUUGCUGACGAGUGGCGGACGGGUGAGUAAUGUCUGGGAAACUGCCUGAUGGAGGGGGAUAACUACUGGAAACGGUGGCUAAUACCGCAUAACGUCGCAAGACCAAAGAGGGGGACCUUCGGGCCUCUUGCCAUCAGAUGUGCCCAGAUGGGAUUAGCUGGUUGGUGAGGUAACGGCUCACCAAGGCGACGAUCCCUAGCUGGUCUGAGAGGAUGACCAGCCACACUGGAACUGAGACACGGUCCAGACUCCUACGGGAGGCAGCAGUGGGGAAUAUUGCACAAUGGGCGCAAGCCUGAUGCAGCCAUGCCGCGUGUAUGAAGAAGGCCUUCGGGUUGUAAAGUACUUUCAGCGGGGAGGAAGGUGUUGUGGUUAAUAACCGCAGCAAUUGACGUUACCCGCAGAAGAAGCACCGGCUAACUCCGUGCCAGCAGCCGCGGUAAUACGGAGGGUGCAAGCGUUAAUCGGAAUUACUGGGCGUAAAGCGCACGCAGGCGGUCUGUCAAGUCGGAUGUGAAAUCCCCGGGCUCAACCUGGGAACUGCAUUCGAAACUGGCAGGCUUGAGUCUUGUAGAGGGGGGUAGAAUUCCAGGUGUAGCGGUGAAAUGCGUAGAGAUCUGGAGGAAUACCGGUGGCGAAGGCGGCCCCCUGGACAAAGACUGACGCUCAGGUGCGAAAGCGUGGGGAGCAAACAGGAUUAGAUACCCUGGUAGUCCACGCCGUAAACGAUGUCUACUUGGAGGUUGUGCCCUUGAGGCGUGGCUUCCGGAGCUAACGCGUUAAGUAGACCGCCUGGGGAGUACGGCCGCAAGGUUAAAACUCAAAUGAAUUGACGGGGGCCCGCACAAGCGGUGGAGCAUGUGGUUUAAUUCGAUGCAACGCGAAGAACCUUACCUGGUCUUGACAUCCACAGAAGUUUUCAGAGAUGAGGAAGUGCCUUCGGGAACUGUGAGACAGGUGCUGCAUGGCUGUCGUCAGCUCGUGUUGUGAAAUGUUGGGUUAAGUCCCGCAACGAGCGCAACCCUUAUCCUUUGUUGCCAGCGAUUAGGUCGGGAACUCAAAGGAGACUGCCAGUGAUAAACUGGAGGAAGGUGGGGAUGACGUCAAGUCAUCAUGGCCCUUACGACCAGGGCUACACACGUGCUACAAUGGCGCAUACAAAGAGAAGCGACCUCGCGAGAGCAAGCGGACCUCAUAAAGUGCGUCGUAGUCCGGAUUGGAGUCUGCAACUCGACUCCAUGAAGUCGGAAUCGCUAGUAAUCGUGGAUCAGAAUGCCACGGUGAAUACGUUCCCGGGCCUUGUACACACCGCCCGUCACACCAUGGGAGUGGGUUGCAAAAGAAGUAGGUAGCUUAACCUUCGGGAGGGCGCUUACCACUUUGUGAUUCAUGACUGGGGUGAAGUCGUAACAAGGUAACCGUAGGGGAACCUGCGGUUGGAUCACCUCCUUACCU